AAAUGAAAACUAAUUUUUAAACAAUGCUGUUUAUAAUUAAAGUAACGAAAAUAAUUUUAAAUUUAUCUUUAUAAGUAUUUAAUAAAGAAAAUAAUAAAAAAAAAUAAUAGUUAAUAAGUACUGCAGGGGAAAGUUGAAAUAAUUGAAAAAUUAAUUUGAUAAAAGUAUAUAUUCAAAUUAGUGCCUUGUGUUUCAGAAAACUUAAACAUAAACUUUUUAUAAAAGAUGUCCCGAAAUUUAACGAGCUAAUUAGUCAUUGAUAGUUAACGUAGCAUAGUUAUUAUAAAUGUCUCAUUAGAAGUGAAAUUCUAUACGCGUUAAUAAGUAUCUGGUUUUUUGAUAAAUAAAUUUAAUUUAGCCUUUAGCUUCACGCAUUAGACUAAAGCGUAAAAAUAGGAGGGAAAAGCUUCUUAUUUAACAAUAAACUUAUUAUGAAUAAUAAAUAAAUUAUACAGUUGUCUAGGCUUAAAAUCAGCCAAGUUUUAAAAUCGUUACAGAUUAUCUAAAAUUUUGUUAAUAUUUAAAAUUAUUCCAAUAAACUUAUCAAAAAAAUUUGUCAAAUAAAAAAUCAAAAGUUAUAAUUAAGUUAUUAGUAUAAAAUGUUGUAAAAUUAAAAAAUCCUGGAUAAUAAAUUAAUAAAUUAUAUCGCUUUAAAAUUUACAUUAAGGAACUCGGCAAUUAUCCUUUCUGCCUGUUUAUCAAAAACAUGUCUAUAUGGAAAGAUUUAUAUAGUCUGGCCUGCCCACUGAUAUUUUUAAUUGAAGGGCCGCGGUAUUCUGACCGUGCGAAGGUAGCAUAAUAAUUAGUCUCCUAAUUAGAGGCUUGUAUGAAUGGUCGGACAAGAUAGGAACUGUCUCAAUAUAAAAAAUAAAAUUUAAUAUUUAAGUAAAAAAGCUUAAAUAAUUUAGAGGGACGAUAAGACCCUAUAAAGCUUUAUGGUAAUAUUUUUGUAUAUAAAAUAUUUCAUGUAACUUAUUAAAAAAUAAACACCAUUUUACUGGGGCGGUAAAAGUAUAUUUUUGAUUAACUGCUUUUGUUGUUAAAAACAGUUGUAGCUGAAUAAUAAAUUGAUCCAUUAUUAAUGAUCACAAGUACAAGUUACUUUAGGGAUAACAGCGUAAUUUUUCUUGAGAGUCCUUAUCGAAAGAAAAGUUUGCGACCUCGAUGUUGAAUUAAGGAAGCCUUAAGGUGCAGCAGUUUUAAAUAGGCAGAUCUGUUCGAUCUUUAAAUCCUUACAUGAUUUGAGUUCAGACCGGCGUAAGCCAGGUUGGUUUCUAUCUUCUAUAAAUUUAAUUGUUUACUUUAGUACGAAAGGAUUUAGUAAAUUGAAUAAUUCAUUAUUAAACUUGAAACUCAUUAAGU
rnacentral:rRNA from 1 species